CCUACGGGAGGUAGCAGUGGGGAAUAUUGGACAAUGGGCGAAAGCCUGAUCCAGCCAUGCCGCGUGUGUGAAGAAGGCCUUCGGGUUGUAAAGCACUUUCAGUGGGGAAGAAAGCCUUGGGGCUAAUACCCUCGAGGAAGGACAUCACCCACAGAAGAAGCACCGGCUAACUCCGUGCCAGCAGCCGCGGUAAUACGGAGGGUGCGAGCGUUAAUCGGAAUUACUGGGCGUAAAGCGCGCGUAGGCGGUCUGAUAAGCCGGUUGUGAAAGCCCCGGGCUCAACCUGGGAACGGCAUCCGGAACUGUCAGGCUAGAGUGCAGGAGAGGAAGGUAGAAUUCCCGGUGUAGCGGUGAAAUGCGUAGAGAUCGGGAGGAAUACCAGUGGCGAAGGCGGCCUUCUGGACUGACACUGACGCUGAGGUGCGAAAGCGUGGGUAGCAAACAGGAUUAGAUACCCCAGUAGUC
rnacentral:rRNA from 1 species